rnacentral:lncRNA from 1 species
GUUCACCUCUCUGCAGCCGCUAGCCUUCCAACCAGCUCCUUCUGCGAGACAGCCUCUUUGCUCAGGGCCUCCCUGCAUCAGAGAAAAAUGAGUGAUGUGCCUGCUCAUCUCAGUGACCUGCUUGUCCCUAAGUGACCUCAUCUCUCGGUGGCCUCUUCUCAGCUAAGGAAGACACCCCCAGAACCCAUCUAGGGAGGAGUAGCUGCCAGACAAGGAGAGUGGAAUUUCAGCCUUUACAUUGAGGUGUAGCUGGAGCAAGAGCAGAGCUCAUUCCUGGAGAGAGCCACCACCCAGGAACAAGCUAUGAGAAGAAACAUCACCAACCAAGCUUUCGGAGAAACCCACAUGCCUGUGACUGCCUCAGCCUAUAGUCUCUGGGGUGGUAUGAGGAAAGGAUUCCUAACCGAUCCAUGCCUGAGCUCCAUCACCAGUGUCUCCUAUGUUACCUACAAAGUUGAAAACAUCCCGAUACCAACUUGCCCACUCCCCAUUGUUUACACAUGGAUACCCUUGGGCUAUAAUAUGAAGCGGGGUGUUGCUGUGCCCAAUAUAUGGUCCAGGCAGGUCUCCGACUUCUAUCACCAACUCGAGAGCCUGUGCCCAGAUGCCGUGGCACCCAACGCAUUUCCCUGUAGUCUCAAGGCAAUCCUACCCUCAUUCCUUUAAUUUUUCUUUCUUUGGCCAAUGACAUUUCCAGCCAUUGUCCCCAAGUUCAAUACUAGAUUCUAACCUGCCUGGAAGGGUAGAAGAGGCCUUGGGAUGGUGUGUGAGCAGCCCAGAUACCUGUCAGUCCAGCCCUCAAAUGUUUGCCCCUUCAACCCAGCAACCCCAACUGCCUACCCUGAAGAAUCCACUACGGCCUCUUGGAGCAGCUGGUGGGAUGUUCAGAGCUGUAUCCUUUGAGCCAGCAGCCAGCCUCUACUGCCUGAAGGGUCUCGGCCAUGAUCCCCCCCUCCCCAUGCUCACAUGCCUUUCUGGCCUUCAAGGGGCCCAUUGGUUCUUUUGUUUUUCUCUUUUUUUCUUCUGAACUCAUUAUUGGCACCUUUACUCCCAGCUUCUGUUCCGGACCAGUUAUCAUUUGUCAUCUACCUGGGCAGAUAAAUUUUGUAUAUAAAUUAAAAAACAAACAAACAAAAACUACACAACCACUAAGCUGAGAAACCUGUAAACUAUCAAGAUCCACCACCUACACUAGGCCCUCUUUUGCACUGAAAUGGAUCUCACUGUUCAGUACCUGGGCAUCCUGUGUACUACAGAGUCCCCAGUGCUUAUACAUGAAUGUCCUGGGGCAGUUAUCUCAGGUGGCUUCUGGGGCAGUUAUCUCAGGUGGCUUCUUCCUAUGCCCUCAGUGUGGUCAAGGGAGGCCACCAGCUUUUAUUACCAACUCGAGAGCCAGUACCCAGAUACCAUGGAGUCCAAUAUGUUACCUUGUUUCAUGGGAUUCCCACCCCCGACUUCCUCAGGCUUUCAAAGCCUCUGCCCAGUCCUCUUCCCUCAGAGAAGGUCCUUUACUCCCUGGCUGCCAUGUAGUGACCCCAGAGCAUUCUGGCAUCACAGAACCCAGCAGACACUCCCCGAAAUCUCUUGAAAAGCCCCACUUAAUGGAGGAUGGACUUGGGACGGGGGUAGGGUGGGGAAACAGGUUCACUGCACACACACACACACACACACACCCCAUAUUGUUUCCUCUCAAGAGCUGGUAACACCGUCCC